UUGUAUAUCUAUUAUCUAUGAUAUCAAAGUGAGGUUAUCUUUAAUUUCAAUAAUGGUUUGUAAUGAUUAUAUUCCCUUGUUAGCGCUACAAAAUUGAUUAAAACAUUAAUUAAUUUACCUGGUUUUCGGGCAAAUCUGUCUUUACCAGAAGAAAAUAAUUGAGAAUAAUUCUCUAAUAUACUUGCGUGUAUCUCUAAAACUAAUUUGUUUUGAUUUAAGCAAAAUUCAAAAAGGAAAUGGAACAAAGUAUUUUUCAAAAUACCGAAGAAAAUACAGAUAAUAAAAGCCUAGUAAGUCUUAAUUUAUGCAGGGUUUGUGCAUCAACCAAUGAUAGAAUGUUAGACAUAUUUAGUUCAGAAGGAACUGCACAGAACUUGGCCUACAAAAUUAACGUUUACCUCCCAUUUAAAGUUACUGAAUAUGAUGUAUUGCCCCUCAGUUGCUGCUUUGAAUGUAUUUCAGUUAUUUCUACAUGGCAUAAUUUUAUACUUAAAAGUUUAGAUGCCGAAAACACUCUACAAGAAAUUUUCAGAAAAAACAGUUCAAAACAAAGUUGUGAUGCAAAAAUAUCUCCAGUUUCAUUAACUUAUGAUGCUUGUAGGACAGAUACAAAUAUAAGUUCUUCAGAUCUACUUAUAUUCUGCCAAGAAUCUAAAGUUGAUUUUAAAAAUCAAUGCAAUGAUAAAAAAGUUGCCAAUAAGUUAAAUGAACAAUCAAUUUGUGUUCAAGAAAAUUCACAAGAGGAAUUAUUCAGUUUGAAAUGUGAACUGGGCAAAGUUCCAAAAUGCUUUAAUGAUAACAUCUCCGAUGUACCAGGCAUUCUUUUAAUAGAGUUAAAGGAAGAAUUAAACAUGCAAAAAAACGUAAAACGUCGGGAAGGAAAUAGUUUCGUAUUACAUCAUUCUAAAAGCACCAGAAUUAAUAAUGUAAAAAAUCAAGAAGAAUCCGGAAAAGCAGCAGGAGUGGUGCUUUCAAGUGCUAAUCAAGUUAAAGAAAUGGGUAAUAAUUCUGUACAAAAUAUGUCAUACUUGAUAAAAGCUGACAAUACAGAAAGUACAACUAAAAAUAAUCAUAAAAGGAAGAAGAAAGAAAUAUUACAAGAACACGAUCGUUCUGAAAACGAUUCUCCAGAAAAUAAAUUGAUCAUCUCAAAAUUUACAAGAAAACACCAAACCAAACUUGACCACGAAGCUUUAAAAUUAGCCAAGGUGACUGUUGAGGGGCGCGUUUAUUACAAUUGUAAUAUCUGCGGGAAAAAUCUUCAUUCUCCCUACACGUACACGUGGCAUAGACGCAUCCACAGUGGAGAAAAACCAUACGUUUGCGACUUAUGUGGGAGACAAUUCCGUGUAUCUCAGGGACUAAUAAGACACCUUCGGGAGACACACGAAGGCUUGAAGAAUUACCGAUGUGAUACCUGCGGGCGUAUGUUUGCAACUAAACGAAACGUCGAAGAACAUCGCAGAACACACACAGAAGAAAGACCAUACGUUUGUGAUCAUUGCGGCAAAGCAUUUAAACAGAAAGCAACUCUGUUUGUCCAUAACAGGUGCCAUUCUGAUACGUAUCCAUACAAAUGCAUCUAUUGUAAUUUAAUGUUCCGAUCGCGACCCCCCAUGUUAUUACAUAUUAAGAGACACACUGGCGAAAGACCCUACCCAUGCGAGGUUUGUGGAAGGCGAUUUAGAACUAAGUACGAUUUAAAAAAACACGCAAUGAUACAUUCAGAUGAAAAGCCAUAUUCUUGUACGGAGUGUGGCACAAGUUUUCGACAAAAAAGAUAUCUUUUAAAUCAUAAUAAAAUUAAUCCCAACUGCAAAAACUACUAAUUUUUUCACCCACUUUAAGACUGAAAACGAUGUUUAAUUUUCUUACCAAUUGCAAAAAAAUAUUAAUUUUAAAUCGAUCUCAUUUUCGUAAAAGUACUUCUAGUCAGAGUUUAUAUUAAGUUUUCAUCUAUUCAUAGUGUAACAUUGUAAUUUUUAAUUUUUUACAUAUAAUACGCACUCCUACUUAAGUACUUAAUCUACUACAUAUAUUGUGAUCUUGAAUGUAUAUUUUAAUUUAUUGUGCUGUUUUAGUUACUAAAUAAAAUUUUCAAAUCAAAAUCUCUGUGUUAUUUGAAAACAAAGUUCAGUUAUUUAAAACAGUUCUUGAAAAGGGGAUAAAUUAAAAGGGAUCUACUUAAGGAGACCACUUCAAAAAAGGACGAAGAAACCAAAACAGAUAAAAAGAAAGC
rnacentral:misc_RNA from 1 species